rnacentral:rRNA from 1 species
UGGGGAAUAUUGGACAAUGGGGGGAACCCUGAUCCAGCAAUGCCGCGUGUGUGAAGAAGGCCUGAGGGUUGUAAAGCACUUUCGGUAGGGAGGAGGAUUGAUUGGUUAAGAGCUGAUUAAUUGGACGUUACCUACAGAAGAAGCACCGGCUAACUCCGUGCCAGCAGCCGCGGUAAUACGGAGGGUGCGAGCGUUAAUCGGAAUUACUGGGCGUAAAGGGUGCGUAGGUUGUUGAAUAAGUUAUGUGUAAAAACCCUGGGCUCAACCUGGGACUGUCAGAUAAUACUGUUUAACUGGAGUAUGGGAGAGGGUAGUGGAAUUUCCGGUGUAGCGGUGAAAUGCGUAGAGAUCGGAAGGAACACCGGUGGCGAAGGCGGCUACCUGGCCUAAUACUGACACUGAGGCACGAAAGCGUGGGGAGCAAACAGG